rnacentral:rRNA from 1 species
GACGAACGCUGGCGGCGUGCUUAACACAUGCAAGUCGAACGGAAAGGCCCUGCUUUUGUGGGGUGCUCGAGUGGCGAACGGGUGAGUAACACGUGAGUAACCUGCCCUUGACUUUGGGAUAACUUCAGGAAACUGGGGCUAAUACCGGAUAGGAGCUCCUGCUGCAUGGUGGGGGUUGGAAAGUUUCGGCGGUUGGGGAUGGACUCGCGGCUUAUCAGCUUGUUGGUGGGGUAGUGGCUUACCAAGGCUUUGACGGGUAGCCGGCCUGAGAGGGUGACCGGCCACCUUGGGACUAGGAUACGGCCCAGACUCCAACGGGAGGCAGCAGUGGGGAAUAUUGCCCAAUGGGCGGAAGCCUGAUGCAGCAACGCCGCGUGCGGGAUGACGGCCUUCGGGUUGUAAACCGCUUUCGCCUGUGACGAAGCGUGAGUGACGGUAAUGGGUAAAGAAGCACCGGCUAACUACGUG